rnacentral:rRNA from 1 species
UACAGGGGGUGCGAGCGUUAAUCGGAAUUACUGGGCGUAAAGCGCGCGUAGGCGGCUUGUUAAGUCGGAUGUGAAAUCCCUGGGCUCAACCUAGGCAUUGCAUUCGAUACUGGCAAGCUAGAGUAUGGGAGAGGAAGGUAGAAUUCCAGGUGUAGCGGUGAAAUGCGUAGAGAUCUGGAGGAAUACCGAUGGCGAAGGCAGCCUUCUGGCCUAAUACUGACGCUGAGGUGCGAAAGCAUGGGGAGCAAACAGG